UAUUAAGCUGAAAUGCCUAUUUCUUUCCUCCCAGAUGGGAAGUAGUACAGGGUAGUGCCAUGGCAUAUGCAUUAAUUUUAUUCCUUCCGCAAAUUUUAGCACAUAUUAUUUUUGCAGAUUUCGAGUCUCUGCCUCCUACCAUCUAUCCAGGAGAUUUAAACAGGAUUUUGCUGAAGAAAAGAUCUCAGUCUUAACAUUUAGGACCCAGGAUAAUUCUCAGCAUUACAGGCAACGCUGUACUGCAGCAUCACGCCCUGCUUUGGAAUGCUAUUCCCUCAAGACUUCCA